rnacentral:rRNA from 1 species
UACGGAGGGAGCUAGCGUUGUUCGGAAUUACUGGGCGUAAAGCGCGCGUAGGCGGCUUUGUAAGUUAGAGGUGAAAGCCCGGAGCUCAACUCCGGAACUGCCUUUAAAACUGCAUCGCUUGAAUCCAGGAGAGGUGAGUGGAAUUCCGAGUGUAGAGGUGAAAUUCGUAGAUAUUCGGAAGAACACCAGUGGCGAAGGCGGCUCACUCGGAGC